CGCAGCCUGAUCCAGCCAUGCCGCGUGUGUGAAGAAGGCCUUUUGGUUGUAAAGCACUUUAAGCGAGGAGGAGGCUACUUGGAUUAAUACUCUAGGAUAGUGGACGUUACUCGCAGAAUAAGCACCGGCUAACUCUGUGCCAGCAGCCGCGGUAAUACAGAGGGUGCGAGCGUUAAUCGGAUUUACUGGGCGUAAAGCGUGCGUAGGCGGCUUNUUAAGUCGGAUGUGAAAUCCCUGAGCUUAACUUAGGAAUUGCAUUCGAUACUGGGAAGCUAGAGUAUGGGAGAGGAUGGUAGAAUUCCAGGUGUAGCGGUGAAAUGCGUAGAGAUCUGGAGGAAUACCGAUGGCGAAGGCAGCCAUCUGGCCUAAUACUGACGCUGAGGUACGAAAGCAUGGGGAGCAAACAGGAUUAGAUACCCUGGUAGUCCAUGCCGUAAACGAUGUCUACUAGCCGUUGGGGCCUUUGAGGCUUUAGUGGCGCAGCUAACGCGAUAAGUAGACCGCCUGGGGAGUACGGUCGCAAGACUAAAACUCAAA
rnacentral:rRNA from 1 species